rnacentral:rRNA from 1 species
GAUGAACGCUGGCGGCGUGCCUAAUACAUGCAAGUCGAGCGAACAGAUGAGGAGCUUUCUCCCUGACGUUAGCCGCCGACCGGUUUGUUACACUUGGACAACCUACCUUUAAGAUUGGGUUGACCUCCGGAAACCGGAGCUAAUACCGGAAAAGAUAUUUAACCGCUUUGUUCCAUAAUUAAAGGAGGGUUUGCUGUCACCUAGAGAAGGUUCCCGCCCGCAUUAGCGAGUUGGUAAGGUAACGGCCUACCAAGGCAACGAUGCGUAGCCGACCCGAGAGGGUGAUCGGCCACACUGGAACUGAGACACGGUCCAGAAUCCUAAGGGAGGCAGCAGUAGGGAAUCUUCCGCAAUGGGCGAAAGCCUGACGGAGAAACGCCGCGUGAGUGAUGAAGGUCUUCGGAUCGUAAAACUCUGUUAUUAGGGAAGAACAAAUGUGUAAGUAACUAUGCACGUCUUGACGGUACCUAAUCAGAAAGCCACGGCUAACUACGUG